rnacentral:lncRNA from 1 species
AUGUUCAGGCCAUGCAUAAUGACAUUGGAAAAAAUAGUCCAGAGCGGCUACAGAAAAGGAUUCAGGAGCUCCUGGCAAGGUACCAGGCAUCCGUGGGCAUGCUUGCCCUGCACAACGAGUGCACUGUGUGUUGCCACUUCUCUGCACCCUGUAGCCCUGUGCCCCCUGCUUGAGAAGUAGGGUUUUGCCAUCCCUACUGAGUACAGGGCACUGAGAAGUGAUUGCUAGAGGGAGGAAACAGAGUUGCCAACCACUGCUGCAGUUUUAUUGCUUUCCUUGUCAUUUCCCUACUGUUAUUUUCCAAUAUCUCUCCAGCUUAAAGUCACAAAUAGUUUUUAUUUAAUACAACAAAAUUG